rnacentral:rRNA from 1 species
AUUGAACGCUGGCGGUAUGCUUAACACAUGCAAGUCGAACGGUAACAGGCCUUCGGGCGCUGACGAGUGGCGGACAGGUGAGUAACGCGUAGGAAUCUGCCUCAUAGUGGGGGACAACGUGGGGAAACUCACGCUAACACCGCAUACGCCCUACGGGGGAAAGCGGGGGAUCUUCGGACCUCGCGCUAUGAGAUGAGCCUGCGUUAGAUUAGCUAGUUGGUAGGGUAAAGGCCUACCAAGGCGACGAUCUAUAGCUGGUCUGAGAGGACGAUCAGACACACUGGGACUGAGACGCGGCCCAGAUUCCAACGGGAAUGAGCAGUGGUGAAUAUAGGACAUAGGGCGCAAGCCUGAUCGAGCACUACCGCGUGUGUGAAGAAGGCCCUAGGAUUGUAAAGCACUUUCAAUGGGGGGGAAAACCUGCCGGUCAAUACCCGGCAGCUUGACAUUACCUAUAGAAGAAGCACCGGCUAACUCCGUGCCAGCCGCCGCCGUAACAC